rnacentral:rRNA from 1 species
GGUUAAGCGACUAAGCGUACACGGUGGAUGCCCUGGCAGUCAGAGGCGAUGAAGGACGUGCUAAUCUGCGAUAAGCGUCGGUAAGGUGAUAUGAACCGUUAUAACCGGCGAUUUCCGAAUGGGGAAACCCAGUGUGAUUCGUCACACUAUCAUUAACUGAAUCCAUAGGUUAAUGAGGCGAACCGGGGGAACUGAAACAUCUAAGUACCCCGAGGAAAAGAAAUCAACCGAGAUUCCCCCAGUAGCGGCGAGCGAACGGGGAGGAGCCCAGAGCCUGAAUCAGUGUGUGUGUUAGUGGAAGCGUCUGGAAAGGCGCGCGAUACAGGGUGACAGCCCCGUACACAAAAAUGCACAUGCUGUGAGCUCGAUGAGUAGGGCGGGACACGUGGUAUCCUGUCUGAAUAUGGGGGGACCAUCCUCCAAGGCUAAAUACUCCUGACUGACCGAUAGUGAACCAGUACCGUGAGGGAAAGGCGAAAAGAACCCCGGCGAGGGGAGUGAAAAAGAACCUGAAACCGUGUACGUACAAGCAGUGGGAGCACGCUUAGGCGUGUGACUGCGUACCUUUUGUAUAAUGGGUCAGCGACUUAUAUUCUGUAGCAAGGUUAACCGAAUAGGGGAGCCGAAGGGAAACCGAGUCUUAACUGGGCGUUAAGUUGCAGGGUAUAGACCCGAAACCCGGUGAUCUAGCCAUGGGCAGGUUGAAGGUUGGGUAACACUAACUGGAGGACCGAACCGACUAAUGUUGAAAAAUUAGCGGAUGACUUGUGGCUGGGGGUGAAAGGCCAAUCAAACCGGGAGAUAGCUGGUUCUCCCCGAAAGCUAUUUAGGUAGCGCCUCGUGAAUUCAUCUCCGGGGGUAGAGCACUGUUUCGGCAAGGGGGUCAUCCCGACUUACCAACCCGAUGCAAACUGCGAAUACCGGAGAAUGUUAUCACGGGAGACACACGGCGGGUGCUAACGUCCGUCGUGAAGAGGGAAACAACCCAGACCGCCAGCUAAGGUCCCAAAGUCAUGGUUAAGUGGGAAACGAUGUGGGAAGGCCCAGACAGCCAGGAUGUUGGCUUAGAAGCAGCCAUCAUUUAAAGAAAGCGUAAUAGCUCACUGGUCGAGUCGGCCUGCGCGGAAGAUGUAACGGGGCUAAACCAUGCACCGAAGCUGCGGCAGCGACACUAUGUGUUGUUGGGUAGGGGAGCGUUCUGUAAGCCUGUGAAGGUGUACUGUGAGGUAUGCUGGAGGUAUCAGAAGUGCGAAUGCUGACAUAAGUAACGAUAAAGCGGGUGAAAAGCCCGCUCGCCGGAAGACCAAGGGUUCCUGUCCAACGUUAAUCGGGGCAGGGUGAGUCGACCCCUAAGGCGAGGCCGAAAGGCGUAGUCGAUGGGAAACAGGUUAAUAUUCCUGUACUUGGUGUUACUGCGAAGGGGGGACGGAGAAGGCUAUGUUGGCCGGGCGACGGUUGUCCCGGUUUAAGCGUGUAGGCUGGUUUUCCAGGCAAAUCCGGAAAAUCAAGGCUGAGGCGUGAUGACGAGGCACUACGGUGCUGAAGCAACAAAUGCCCUGCUUCCAGGAAAAGCCUCUAAGCAUCAGGUAACAUCAAAUCGUACCCCAAACCGACACAGGUGGUCAGGUAGAGAAUACCAAGGCGCUUGAGAGAACUCGGGUGAAGGAACUAGGCAAAAUGGUGCCGUAACUUCGGGAGAAGGCACGCUGAUAUGUAGGUGAAGCGACUUGCUCGUGGAGCUGAAAUCAGUCGAAGAUACCAGCUGGCUGCAACUGUUUAUUAAAAACACAGCACUGUGCAAACACGAAAGUGGACGUAUACGGUGUGACGCCUGCCCGGUGCCGGAAGGUUAAUUGAUGGGGUCAGCGCAAGCGAAGCUCUUGAUCGAAGCCCCGGUAAACGGCGGCCGUAACUAUAACGGUCCUAAGGUAGCGAAAUUCCUUGUCGGGUAAGUUCCGACCUGCACGAAUGGCGUAAUGAUGGCCAGGCUGUCUCCACCCGAGACUCAGUGAAAUUGAACUCGCUGUGAAGAUGCAGUGUACCCGCGGCAAGACGGAAAGACCCCGUGAACCUUUACUAUAGCUUGACACUGAACAUUGAGCCUUGAUGUGUAGGAUAGGUGGGAGGCUUUGAAGUGUGGACGCCAGUCUGCAUGGAGCCGACCUUGAAAUACCACCCUUUAAUGUUUGAUGUUCUAACGUUGACCCGUAAUCCGGGUUGCGGACAGUGUCUGGUGGGUAGUUUGACUGGGGCGGUCUCCUCCUAAAGAGUAACGGAGGAGCACGAAGGUUGGCUAAUCCUGGUCGGACAUCAGGAGGUUAGUGCAAUGGCAUAAGCCAGCUUGACUGCGAGCGUGACGGCGCGAGCAGGUGCGAAAGCAGGUCAUAGUGAUCCGGUGGUUCUGAAUGGAAGGGCCAUCGCUCAACGGAUAAAAGGUACUCCGGGGAUAACAGGCUGAUACCGCCCAAGAGUUCAUAUCGACGGCGGUGUUUGGCACCUCGAUGUCGGCUCAUCACAUCCUGGGGCUGAAGUAGGUCCCAAGGGUAUGGCUGUUCGCCAUUUAAAGUGGUACGCGAGCUGGGUUUAGAACGUCGUGAGACAGUUCGGUCCCUAUCUGCCGUGGGCGCUGGAGAACUGAGGGGGGCUGCUCCUAGUACGAGAGGACCGGAGUGGACGCAUCACUGGUGUUCGGGUUGUCAUGCCAAUGGCACUGCCCGGUAGCUAAAUGCGGAAGAGAUAAGUGCUGAAAGCAUCUAAGCACGAAACUUGCCCCGAGAUGAGUUCUCCCUGACUCCUUGAGAGUCCUGAAGGAACGUUGAAGACGACGACGUUGAUAGGCCGGGUGUGUAAGCGCAGCGAUGCGUUGAGCUAACCGGUACUAAUGAACCGUGAGGCUUAACCUU